UGGUGCCCAGUGUGGGGGCUCCUGGCAUGGGGGAGUCAAUGAGGGAGACUUUUGAGAAUGCUUGCAAAAGUAGAAACAAAUUGAAUGAGGCUAAAAGUGAAAGCAAAUUGAAUCAAGGACUGAGACCUGCACAGAUGACUGCUCAACAUGCCGCCCGAGUCACGGUGAAUGAACGGCAGCCCCAUUCCCUUACCCGGACACGGGUCAAGCAUUGAGUGAACAUAAAUUGUUCGUGGGAGGCUUUAGCAAGGCAUUAAAGACAAGAGGGGUAAGGGUUAGAACAAAAGAAUUGUUGCAGUAUUUUCAAUUUAUCCAUAAAGUUUG
rfam:Cavia porcellus supercont2_3 genomic scaffold, whole genome shotgun sequence.